AACGCUAGCUACAGGCUUAACACAUGCAAGUCGAGGGGCAGCAUGGCCUUAGCUUGCUAAGGCCGAUGGCGACCGGCGCGCGGGUGAGUAACACGUAUCCAACCUGCCGUCUACUCUUGGACAGCCUUCUGAAAGGAAGAUUAAUACAAGAUGGCAUCAUGAGUCCGCAUGUUCACAUGAUUAAAGGUAUUCCGGUAGACGAUGGGGAUGCGUUCCAUUAGAUAGUAGGCGGGGUAACGGCCCACCUAGUCUUCGAUGGAUAGGGGUUCUGAGAGGAAGGUCCCCCACAUUGGAACUGAGACACGGUCCAAACUCCUACGGGAGGCAGCAGUGAGGAAUAUUGGUCAAUGGGCGAGAGCCUGAACCAGCCAAGUAGCGUGAAGGAUGACUGCCCUAUGGGUUGUAAACUUCUUUUAUAAAGGAAUAAAGUCGGGUAUGGAUACCCGUUUGCAUGUACUUUAUGAAUAAGGAUCGGCUAACUCCGUGCCAGCAGCCGCGGUAAUACGGAGGAUCCGAGCGUUAUCCGGAUUUAUUGGGUUUAAAGGGAGCGUAGAUGGAUGUUUAAGUCAGUUGUGAAAGUUUGCGGCUCAACCGUAAAAUUGCAGUUGAUACUGGAUAUCUUGAGUGCAGUUGAGGCAGGCGGAAUUCGUGGUGUAGCGGUGAAAUGCUUAGAUAUCACGAAGAACUCCGAUUG
rnacentral:rRNA from 1 species